rnacentral:rRNA from 1 species
UACAGAGGGUGCGAGCGUUGUUCGGAAUUAUUGGGCGUAAAGGGCGCGUAGGCGGUGCGGCAAGUCACCUGUGAAACCUCUGGGCUUAACCCAGAGCCUGCAGGCGAAACUGCCGUGCUGGAGUGUGGGAGAGGUGCGUGGAAUUCCCGGUGUAGCGGUGAAAUGCAUAGAUAUGACCCGGAACACCGAUUGCGAAGGCAGCCCACUAAGCAAUGAUUGACGCUGAGGCACGAAAGCGUGGGGAGCAAACAGG